UACAGAGGUGACAAGCGUUGUUCGGAAUUACUGGGCGUAAAGGGCGCGUAGGCGGCCUACUAAGUCAGACGUGAAAUCCCCCGGCUUAACCUGGGAACUGCGUCUGAUACUGGAAGGCUUGAGUAUGGGAGAGGGAUGUAGAAUUCCAGGUGUAGCGGUGAAAUGCGCAGAUAUCAGGAGGAACACCGAUGGCGAAGGCAGGUCUCUGGGCCACUACUGACGCUGAGAAGCGAAAGCAUGGGGAGCGAACAGG
rnacentral:rRNA from 1 species